UUUUCAGUUUUCCUCGGUAGUUAACUGCAGCCGGUUUCAUAAUUUGGCAGUUAACUAUCGAGGGGCAU
rnacentral:pre_miRNA from 1 species